rnacentral:rRNA from 1 species
UACGUAGGGGGCAAGCGUUGUCCGGAAUCAUUGGGCGUAAAGCGCGUGUAGGCGGCCAGGUAGGUCUGGUGUGAAAACUCGAGGCUUAACCUCGAGAUGUCAUCGGAAACCAUUUGGCUAGAGUCCGGAAGAGGAGAGUGGAAUUCCUGGUGUAGCGGUGAAAUGCGCAGAUAUCAGGAAGAACACCAACGGCGAAGGCAGCUCGCUGGGACGGUACUGACGCUGAGGCGCGAAAGCGUGGGGAGCGAACAGG